UACGGAGGGGGCUAAUGUUGUUCGGAAUCACUGGGCGUAAAGGGAGCGUAGGCGGGUGUUUAAGUUAGGUGUUUAAUCCCAGGGCCCAACCCUGGUCAGGCACCUAAAACUGGACAUCUUGAAUAGUGGAGAGGACGAUGGAAUUGGGGUGUAGCGGUGGAAUGCGUAGAGAUCCCAAGAACACCAGUUGCGAAGGCGGUCGUCUGGACACAUAUUGACGCUGAGGCUCGAAAGCAUGGGGAGCAAACA
rnacentral:rRNA from 1 species